UUUGAACUGAUACUCUGGUGCUUGUUGUCUUCACUCUGAAAAUUAUGGCAUCUCGAAGAUUAAGGUUAUGUUCUCUUCACCUGAUAUAAGGUGAUCUGGUUUGAAUUUAUUAAGGUCUAGUCUCUUCCUUCGUUGUUUUUACUUCUACCACUUUGAUUAUAUACUUUUACGAUUAUAGAUUUUACGUAAAUGUAAUUAGAUUUGUCUCGUGUAUUUUCAAAAUAUUAGCACUUUUUACUAAUUUUACUAAUUAAUUGUUAUAGAUAUUAAUGGUCAAAAUCAUGCACCGAAUGUGAAAUUCCUAGUUUGUAGAAGCGGGAAAGAACGGGGGUAAUUGCCAAAAUAGACGUAAACAUUUUUCUUGUAUAUUGUCGUAGGAAAUACUUCUUUUUUUUCUCGAUAGCAAAGAGAAUCAUAUAUGCAAAGCUUUGAGCCUUUGAUGUGUUGGCCUACUUUGUAGGCCUAAAAUCUUCAAUUUAUUGAUUGAGUGGUUAAUGUAAUUAUUCUUCAGCAUCACAUUGACGAGUGAUCCAAGUUGGUUCAUUGUAUUAGUGCUACCCCAUCUACAUUUCCUAAAUUAUGCUCUUCAUGGAAAAGCUGUGAAAGCUGCUCCCUUUUAUCUCAGCAGCCAAGAAUCAGAACAUCUUAGCUAGCAAGAUUUCUACAACUCUCUUGUACAACCAGAUGAUGAAAAUAAACGCGAAGAAAUGUAUGGAUAUCUUAGCUUGUUGCAUCCUUUAAACCAGCUUAAACAUCAGUUUGUCAUCCUGCAAAUCCUGCAAAAGUUUGUACAAGUUAAACUGAUCUUGUAAGUACAAUCUGGAUAUGGUUAGCUUGCAGUUUAGCUAAUCAAUAUUUAUCUUUUAUUUUCUUAGUGCAUGCUUAUCAAAUAAUUGCUGUAGCCUUCUCCAACUUUUCGUCUAAUACAUUCAUUGCUUACUGGAAAUGUCUGAUUACUGAUUUGAGCAGAUAGCUCUCUCUUAAUAGCAACAUAUUCUCAUAAUUCAUUUGCUUUGGAGAUGGCAUUAUUAGAUUUUCAAGAAUUACCUCUCAGUAACUCUCAUUUGAUUUAGGAUAAGGUUGUGUAUGUAUGUCCUCUUUAGGUUAGGCCAUAGAGAAAAGACUUGCUAGUAGAGAUGGCAAUUCAAGUCAACGGAUCUGAGUCAGGUAUGGUUUCAAGACAAUCUCGGAUCAUGCUCAAUAUGUAUCAAAUUUUAUGUAAGAUGCUAUAAAUUUGAAAACCAAAUAAUGAUCGAAUUCAGGUGUUUAGGUUUAGUUCAGAUUAUCAAAUUGGAUUAAAGAUUGCAAGCUCUGUUUUUUAAAAUACAGAAAAAGGAAACGUUAGGAGACCUUCUCUUGAUGAGAGGCCAAAGCAUUGAUACCGGAAACGUGGUACGUGGUCUAGGAGUCUAUCUGGUUUACUCUAGAGGUUGCGUUCCGCGUUCCCAUUUAUGUACCACGUUCUAGAACGUUCUGCGUUCCAUGUAACAAUGGGCCAAAGAUUGCCAGCUCUACUUGCUUGUGAGAAGCAGGCUCUUUUAGGUGCAAAAUUGCAGGAACUAUAUUGCAUGCACCCAGUUAACUAGUUGGGUAUGUUUCUCCACCAUUAUCAUAUGUUAUGUGUUAUCAAUGCAGAUUUAUUAGAAUUCAGGACAUGAUCUCUUUAAUUUGCUAAAUACUAGAAGUAUAUAAUAAGUUCAUAAGAAACCGGAUUACAUAGUCGAACAAAGUAUGAUUACAGUACACAAGAUAGCAAGGCAGACAUCACUCCAAAUCCUCUAGCAACUAGUCGGUGCCUAGAGGUUAAGGAGGCAUUUUAUUCUACUAAAUUAAUGCCAUGGUUGCUCUGAGCUCUCUGGAUCAUGUUGCCUCUAAGCCUUAGUAACUCUGCAAACCAGAAAAAAGAGCCAUGUGUAAGUGUAAAUUAGAUGGUAAAAAAUUUCCAUACAGAAAAAAUAGUGAAAAGAAUACUUCAACCUAAAGCUAGUUAAGGGCUUCUUCUUUUCUUUCUUUCAAUUAUUUUGUGGUUGCAAUUUUUUCUUGCUAGUACCUAAGAGCAUGGGUUCUAAAAACUUAAACUCGACUACUUCCUCCAUAGCAUAAUAACUGCAACAAAUGAAUAUUUUAUACCUCAUAAAUAAUAUCCAUGUGUUACAUUUAUUAUGUUGCGGAGAAGAUAAUUUUAAGUCGAAAGUAAAAGUCAAAACGUUCAAAUAUAGGAAGUCUAAACAAUUGAGUAGAUGAUAAGAUAUUAAAACUUACCCUGUAUGGGUCAUAGGAGUUGUCAAUGAUACGCUCUUCCCUCCUCUCAAUGAUCUCAGCUGGCCUACCGUAUUGGUGGUUGUGGUGGUUGUGGGGGUGGUGGUGGUGGCCGGGGAUGACUUCGCUAACAACCUCGGUCACAACAUUUCCCAACCCGUUGCGGUGGUGGUGAACACGGUUGCCAUAUUCGUCAAUCCUGUACUCAGCUGAUCCAUAGGCUGAUCCAUAUGGACCCUCACGAACAACCUCCUUCUCAACCUCGUAGUAGUUGUUACCGUAGGGGCGGUUAAUGUAUGCCAUUCUUGUUAUGUUGCUUAGUGGUUUACUACUAUAUAGUAUGA